rnacentral:lncRNA from 10 species
GGGAUUACUUUGAAUCUACGGAUCAGUUUGGAGAACUUAAGAAUAUUGUGCCUUCUGACACAGACAGCAUACAUCUCUUCCAUUAUUUAAGUCUUCUGAAUAACACCUCUCUUAGCAGUGUUUUGUAAUUUUCAAUGUACAUAUACAUUUUGUUAUAUUUAUCCCUAAGUAUUUCAUGUAUUUGCUUGCCAUUGUAAGUGGGUUUUUUAAUUUCACUUUUCAUCAUUUUGUGGCUUGUAAAUAGAAAUCAAUUUAUUUUUGUAAAAUGACCUUGUAUCUUUUAAGCUUGCUAAACUCUCUUGUAUUAAUGGAUAGGGUUGUUGUAUAAACAAAAGAAAUGUCUUUUCUCACAGUUCUGGAGGCUAAAAGUGCAGAAUCUAGUUUCUGAAGCUGGGCACAGUGGCUCACUCCUGUAAUCCCAGCACUUUGGGAGGCCGAGGCAGGCGGAUCACCUGAGAUCAGGAGCUUGAGACCAGCCUGGCCAACAUGGUGAAACCCCGUCUGAACUAAAAAUACAAAAAUUAUCCAGGUGUGGUGGCAGGCACCUGUAAUCCCAGCUACUAAGGAGGCUGAGGCAUGAGAAUUACUUGAACCCAGGAGGCGGAGGUUGCAGUGAGCCGAGAUCAUGCCACUGCACUCCAGCCUGGCCAACCGAGUGAGACUUCAUCUCUGGGGGGAAAAAAAAAUCUAGGUUUUGGGAGGAUUGGUUCCCUGUCAGGGCUAUGAGGGAAAGAUCUGCUCUAAGCCUCUCUCCCUAGCUUGCAGAUGGCCAUCCUCACAUUCACAUGGCAUUCUCCCUGUAUGCAUGUCUAUUUCAUAAUGUCCCCUUUUUAUAAGGACUCCAGAAAUAGUGGAUUAGGGCCCAACCUAAUGACCUCAUUUUGACUCUGUAAAGACCCUCUCUCCAAAUAAAGUCACAUUCUGAAAUACUGGGGACUAGGAGUUCAACAUAUACAUUGGGGGAAUGGAGGGAGCACAGUUGAACCUGUAACAUCUCUUUAUAGUUCUAGUAGCUCUUUUGUAGAUUGAUUGGUAUUUUCUACGUGUGUUAUCUGUGAAUCAACACAGUUUUACUUCUUUCUUUCCAACCUGUGUGUUUCCUCUUUAUUUUUCUUCCCUAUUUUCUUUUUUUUUUUUUUCUUUUUUGACGAAGUCUCGCUCUUUCGCCCAGGCUGGACUGCAGUGGCGCUAUCUCGGCUCACUGCAAGCUCCGCCUCCCGAGUUCACACCAUUCUCCUGCCUCAGCCUCCCGAGUAGCUGGGACUACAGGUGCCCACCACCGUGCCUGGCUACUUUUUUUUUUUUUUUUUUUUUAAUUUUUAGUAGAGACAGGGUUUCACCGUGUUAGCCGGGAUGGUCUCUGUCUCCUGACCUCGUGAUCCGCCCGCCUUGGCCUCCCAAAGUGCUGGGAUUACAGGCGUGAGCCACUGCACCCAGCCUUUUCUUCCCUAUUUUCACAGGGUAGGACCUCAAGCACAAUGUUGAAUAAAUGUCAUGAGAGUCCCCAUCUUUUUUGUCCUCCUGAUAUUAACGAAAAGCAUUUGGUCUUUCAGCACUAAUAGCUGUAGGUUUUUGUAGAUGCCCUUUAUCAGACUGAGGAAGUUUCCUUCUAUUCCAGUUUGUUGAAUUCUUAUCAUGAUUAGAUGUUGGAUUUUAUCAAAUGACUUUUCUGCAUCUAUUUAGAUAAUCAUAGAGUAGUUCUUUUUUAUUUGAUUAAUAUGAAGAUGUCAUUGUUUGAUUUUCAAACGUUAAAAUAACCUUGUAUUUCUGUUAUAUGUCUGACUUGGUCAUAGUAUAUUAUCCUUCUUAUAUAUUGAUGGAUUUGAUUUGGUAAUAUUUGCUGAUGAUUUUUGCAGCUAUGUACAGGUAAGAUAUUGGUUCAUAUUUUUCCUUCUAAUUAUGUCAUUAAGCAUGAUUACAAACUGCUCUGGUUUAAGUAUCAGGUAUAUAGCUACUCCAGCUUUCUUUUGUUUAUUGUUUAUAUAUCUUAUUUCAUCCCUUUACUUUUAUUUAUAUACUUAUUUAUUUAUUUGUUUUUAGAACUCAAGUUCUGCUUACUAGGAUGGAGAUGUCAGUGCUUUAUCAAAGAUGAAGAGGCCACCCAUUUGUGUCUAUAUUUGAAGUAUGGUUUUUGUAGGCAGCAUAGUUGAGUUCUUUUUUAUUUAGUUUUGCGAUCUCUGCUAUAUUAGUUGAGCUGUUUAGAAUAUUUAUAUUUAAAGCAAUGUUUGAUAUGGUUCUUUUAAAUCUUGCUAUUUGUUUUUGUUUUCCUACCUAUUAUUUGGGUUUUUUUCUA